UAAGAAGUUCUCUAGGGUUCCGUUAAAUUAUUUAAGUCUGGACCGAGAGAGGACGCUGGAAAGAGUUCCAGUACACGGAAGGACAAAAGCCUGGGAGAG
rnacentral:sRNA from 2 species